rnacentral:tRNA from 1 species
ACCUGGGUGGCUCAGUAGGUUGAGCAUCUGAUUUCAGCUCAGGUCAUGAUCUCGCAGUUUGUGAGUUCAAGCCCCAUAUCAGGCU